GACAAACCCCAGGUGAUUAUAGCUCAUCAUGGGACUAAAGACUCUGACAGGUCAACUUCAAGUGGAAUGAGGCCACAGAGGUGCCUAAUGACCAUUCCUCAUUAGUGGAGGAGGUGAUCUCUAAGCCAAGACUUGAAGAAGAGGGGAGUAAGUCAGCAAAAGGGGGAACUGGAGGUGGAGGGGAGGCACCCGUGGCCAGGCAGGGUAGCAGCAUGCUGAUGGGGUGGGAUUCACCGGGCAAGGGCCUUGUUAUCUUUCCUCGUACCUUUUAUUCUAUGUCCCCUCCCCACCUCCUAAAAUUAAUAACUAACAUUUCUUUUGUCUACUUUGGUUUACUGAGCACCUUUCUAUAUGACCCCACCUUUGUGCUGACAACUGUCCUACAGAUAUACAUUUUCCAAAUCACAACUCCUUUUAUAAGUGAGGAUGUGGGACCCAGAGAGCUGCAGUGACUGUCCCAGGUCCACAACGGCCAAGAAAAAAGUCUCAUUUCAAACCUAGGAGUUCUCCAUGACCUCCUGCGACAGCCCAGGGAGUGAAGGUGAGUUCUCCAUGACCUCCUGCGACAGCCCAGUGAGUGAAGGUGAGUUCUCCAGGACCUCCUGUGACGGCCCAGGGAGUGAAGGUGAGUUCUCCAUGACCUCCUGUGACGGCCCAGGGAGUGAAGGUGAGUUCUCCAUGACCUCCUGUGAUGGCCCAGGGAGUGAAGGUGAGUUCUCCAUGACCUCCUGUGACAGCCCAGUGAGUGAAGGUGAGGAGCUGUGAUAGGUUCUGAGUGCUCGGCCCUCCCUGACCUGGCCGAUGGUCCUUGCGGAGCCACCCCACUAGCCUCAUGGAGGGAUUUCUAAGUGGGGAAGCGGGAGCACACUACCCUGUACAUUCCUGUGCGAGUCCAGAGAAGACACUUACUCUGCAGAGCAAGUGGGGCUCAAAGCUUGGCCCAGCCAUCCUCUGUGUGUGUAUGUGUGUGGGGGUCAUUGUGAUGGACAGCGCCUCCAGAAGGACACAGGCCACCUGGCUGCUCCAAAGGCAAGUCCCUUUAACAACCCACAGCAAAACCAAAUUUUCCUUUUGCCUUCUUGGAUUUUGAAUCCCAAUGAGACCAUUUCCCUGAUUUAUGAAAUCCACAGAAUAAGCAGCUGUGAAUCUGAAACUGACACUUUCCUAAGGACUUGUCUUUGUCCUUCCUGAUGGAGAAUCUUUAUGUUGUUUUGCGAGUUCUUUAUUAAAGUUUGGGUUUCCCUGAGUUCAGGGUGUGAGUAGUUUAUCUCAAGGAAAUCUCAAAACUUAACAGGAGAGGGCAGGAAGAGAAAUGGGGAAGAAAUGAAAAAAGACAGAAAGGUUCAUGACUGAGCUGAUCAUGGAGCUGUGAGCAGGUGAGGUUUAUGCUUAGUGGGGACACCUAAGGAAUCAUGUAGAAGUAUCCCAAAUUGCCCCCUCUAGGACGGGAGCUGUCCCAUUUAUCCCCUAAUUCCCAUCCCCUUUGGCUGAGGGCUGCCUGCAGGAAUCAACUUUCCUAGUUCAGCAGAAAGCUUCUGGGAAAUCCUGGACUCAAAAAACAGAGAGAAACCAAGGCACUGUUCUGGAGGGGAGCUCCCGGCCACACGUGGGGCACUGACUUCACAGCUACACUGAAGCCCAGUGGGACAAGGGGAAUGGCUCAGGGCACAACCAGCAUCAUCACGGUAAGUCACUAUUCUAGAAAGUGGGAUUUGGGGUCAGAAGACACGUGCUGGGUCCUGUUUCUUAUGCUUCCCAGGCUGAUCCAUUCACCAGGGGCAGGUCACAUAUUUUUAGCAUUAAUUUCUCUUCUCUUAGAAAGAGAAUCUCAGCCCUAUUUAUGCUGUAUGGCUGUUGCCAGGAUCUGAUAGGAUAAUGUGAGGAACUACCAAGUGUUAGGCAAAUGUUAUUCAUUAUGUUGACCACUUAACGUCCCUUCUGGGAAUCCGGUAUUUACCCUGGGUCUGCAAGCACUGGAUGCUCUGAAGCUGCUUAAGGCUGCUGACUAAGGUCCUCCUCUGACAGGGUCUCCUAGCAGCAGGGCCCACACACAUAAGCCUGCUAUCUCAUCUGCUUUCAGAAGCCUUUGCUCAGUAUCUCACCUGUGACAUUCCAGCGACCCACACUAGGUCUGCAACGUGGUGAACAGGAGCUUUCCAGCCUGCCUCUCUGCAAGUCUCUUCUAUGAUGAUUCAGGCAGCCAGCGCCCCUCCCAUGGUCAGAUGUACUCACUGACCCCUCCAGGAGUUCUGCCUGAGAAUUUCUUCCCAGGCACUUCACAGAAAUGACGAGGCACCAACUACCAGCAUCUGUUGCCAGCUUACCAUGUGCCAGUCACCAUGCUACCAAUACACUGCCUGUCAUCUAACUCAUCGUCACUCUGC
rnacentral:lncRNA from 1 species